GACGAACGCUGGCGGCGUGCCUAACACAUGCAAGUCGAACGAAAAGGCCCUGCUUAUGUGCGGUGCUCGAGUGGCGAAGGGGUGAGUAACCCGUGGGUAACCUGCCCUUGACUGUGGGAUAACUUCAGGACACUGGGGCUAAUACCGGCUAGGAGCUCCUGCCGCUUGGUGGGCGUGGGAAAGUUUCGGCGGUUGGGGAUGGAAUCGCGGCUUAUGAGAUUGUUGGGUGGGUAGUGGCUUACCAAGGCCAUGACGGGUAGCAUGGCUGGGAGGGUAAGCUGCCCCAUUGGGACGGAGAUACGGCCCAGACUCGUACGGGAGGCAAGGGUGGAGAAGAGUGUACUAGGGGCGGAAGCCUGAUGUGGCACCGCCGCGUGGGGGAAGUCGGCCUUCGGGUUGUAAACCGCUGUCGCCUUUGACGAAGCGUGAAUGACGGUAAUGGGUAAAGAAGCACCGGCUAACUACGUG
rnacentral:rRNA from 1 species